rnacentral:rRNA from 1 species
GGUGAACGCUGGCGGCGUGCCUAAUACAUGCAAGUCGAGCGAACAGACGAGGAGCUUGCUCCUCUGACGUUAGCGGCGGACGGGUGAGUAACACGUGGAUAACCUACCUAUAAGACUGGGAUAACUUCGGGAAACCGGAGCUAAUACCGGAUAAUAUAUUGAACCGCAUGGUUCAAUAGUGAAAGACGGCUUUGCUGUCACUUAUAGAUGGAUCCGCGCCGCAUUAGCUAGUUGGUAAGGUAACGGCUUACCAAGGCGACGAUGCGUAGCCGACCUGAGAGGGGGAUCGGCGACACUGGAAGUUAGACACGGUCCAGACUCCUACGGGAGGCAGCAGUAGGGAAUCUUCCGCAAUGGGCGAAAGCCUGACGGAGCAACGCGGCGUGAGUGAUGAAGGUCUUCGGAUCGUAAAACUCUGUUAUUAGGGAAGAACAAAUGUGUAAGUAACUAUGCACGGCUUGACGGUACCUAAUCAGAAAGCCACGGCUAACUACGUG